UACGUAGGUAGCAAGCGUUGUUCGGAGUUACUGGGCGUAAAGAGUGCGUAGGCGGUCCGGCAAGUUCGGCGUGAAAUCUCCCGGCUUAACUGGGAGGGUGCGCCGAAGACUGUUGGGCUGGAGUGUGGGAGAGGCAGGCGGAAUUCCUGGUGUAGCGGUGAAAUGCGUAGAUAUCAGGAGGAACACCGGUGGUGUAGGCGGCCUGCUGGACCAUAACUGACGCUGAGGCACGAAAGCGUGGGGAGCAAACAGG
rnacentral:rRNA from 1 species